rnacentral:rRNA from 1 species
GAUGAACGCUAGCUACAGGCUUAACACAUGCAAGUCGAGCGGAAACACCAUCGAAAGCUUGCUUUUGAUGGGCGUCGUCCCGCGCACGGGUGAGUAACGCCUAUCCAUACUGUCUAUCACUUGGGAAUAACCUUGCGAAUGCACGACUACUACCCACUGAUUUCCCACGAAAGCAUCGGAACGUGAGAAAAUAUUUAUCGGAAUGGGAUGGUGUCGCGUCGGCUCAGCUAGUUGGCGGGGUACCGGCCCACCAAGGCGACGAACCGUAGCUGGUCGGAGAGGAUGAUCAGCAACACUGGAACUGAGACACGGUACAGACUCCUACGGGAGGCAGCAGUGGGGAAUAUUGGACAAUGGGCGCAAGCCUGAUCCAGCCAUACCGCGUGGGUGAAGAAGGCCUUCGGGUUGUAAAGCCCUUUUGUUGGGAAAGAAAAGCAGCAGGUUAAUACCCCGCUGUUCUGACGGUACCCAAAGAAUAAGCACCGGCUAACUUCGUG